rnacentral:rRNA from 1 species
UACGUAGGGUGCAAGCGUUGUCCGGAAUUAUUGGGCGUAAAGAGCUCGUAGGCGGUCUGUCGCGUCUGCUGUGAAAACUCAGGGCUUAACCCUGAGCUUGCAGUGGGUACGGGCAGACUAGAGUGCGGUAGGGGAGACUGGAAUUCCUGGUGUAGCGGUGAAAUGCGCAGAUAUCAGGAGGAACACCGGUGGCGAAGGCGGGUCUCUGGGCCGUAACUG